rnacentral:rRNA from 1 species
CCAAGGAGUGCAAGAGGCGUGCGAGUCUUUGGGUGUUUAAAACCCUUGGGCGAAAUGAGAGUGAAGGGGGUUACCCCCGAGGCGAGAGCCCGUCCCGAGCGGGCGCAUCGUCGACCGAUCCCAGGCUACGCUGUGGUGGGAUUCGAGUGAGAGCGUGCCUGUUGCGACCCGAAAGAUGGUGAACUAUGCCUGAAUGGGGCGAAGCCAGAGGAAACUCUGGUGGAAGCUCGCAGCGGUUCUGACGUGCAAAUCGAUCGUCAAAUUUGGGUAUAGGGGCGAAAGACUAAUCGAACCGUCUAG